rnacentral:rRNA from 1 species
CAGAAAAAAACUUUUUUUAAAUUAAAAAUUGAAGUUUUUUUAAUUUGUGCAGAAACAAUUAUUUAUAUUAAAGACAAGAAGACCCUAUGAAUUUAUUAAAUUUUUAUUUAAUAUGUAAUUACUAUUAGAAAAAUUUUGGCUGGGGCGGCUAGAAAAUAUUAUGAACUUUUUAAAAAUAAAAUGAUCCAUUAUUAAUGAUUUUAUGUUAAAUACUCUAGGGAUAACAGCGUUAUAUUUUUUGAUAGAUCAUAUUGACAAAA